UUGAUGAGAGUGUUUAGUCGUGGGGUUUUCAGCGUCGAUACAAUGAAUACAUUGCGGUUGCAUCGUUUUUACUCUAUUGGGCGACCACAGGCAUGAAGACCAGUUUCAUCGAUGAGGAGCAGUAAAGAAGAGCUGCUUUACACGGAGAAUCUGUUAUUCAUUGCGCAGCUCUUAUCAGUUAAGCUCUGCGCAACAUCCUCCGCAACCGGAAAUUUUGACCAAGUGAGUUUUCAUGAAAAUUUCUUUCUCUUUUCCUUUUUUUGGUAUCUGUGCGAGAAUUGAAGAAACGUUCGCAAAUUGUGUGCAAUCAGGUUGUUCCAACACCCUGUGUGUAAGAUUUUAAUAUUCGAAACUAUGAGUCAAAUAAUCACUUGGAAGUGACGUGAAGUGAAGACUAGCAACAAGUGGAGAAAAUUGCUGCUGUAAUUUCUAGUGUUAGCUCAUUCUUUAUUGUUGUUUUCGUGGUUGAGUCAACACAAUCUUGCAAACUUCGGUUUUUGUUUUAUUGUGUUUUAUUAUAAGGACUGUCGAGAUUCAUCAAAAAACCUUAACAUAAUGAGACAAAAUGAAUGGGGGCAGAGUGAAGUAGUUUGUGAAGAAUUCAUUUAGAAGCAUGAACUAAAAAUAGAAGUAGAGGUAAAAUAGUAAAUGACGAGGUGAUUAUGUUCAAUACAGCCACCCUCCCAUCAUUGAUGUUCCCUCUAAAUAUAAUUUCCCCUGUUUUUAGCAUUGUAAUCUCGAUCAUGCAAAUUUAAUAGCUUAUGGGUAGAUCUUUUAUGUCUUCAUAUAUAUAUAUAUAUAUAUAUACAUACAUAUGAUAUUAUGAUUAUUAUUAUUAUUAUUAUUUACUUUUAAAAUUGUAUUAACUUCUGGAUAAUAAA
rnacentral:lncRNA from 1 species